GGUAAGCAGCCAAUGGAUUUCCUGAAGCUUCCAGCCUCCACCCACAGUUCAACAAAUUAAGCCACGCUUUACUCACUCCUUUUGUCCCUCUCCCAACCCACUCCCCUUCUCCCACUCUUUAUAACCUCUCGCCAUCUUCCUCCCCAAUAUAUGCUUCAACCACCACCACUGAUCCAGCCGUCAAGCAAAAGUAAUAUUUAGAAGAUAUCUUCUAUGUGUAUAUGGACAUGGACACCCCCCUGUCAUCCUCCUCAUCCUUCUCACCCUCCAGCUUUUUUGGAUCCUUCGGUGGCGGCGGUGACACUCACCACUUCCUUGACGCCUGUUUUCUCUGCAAGAAGCCCAUAUCUGCCAACGAAGACAUCUUCAUGUACAGAGGGAAUGAACCGUUUUGUAGCAACGAGUGUAGGAAGAAGCAGAUAGAGAUGGAUGAGGCGUUGGAGAAUAACCGCAAGAAAUUCUCCUCCUCCUCUUCUUCUAUCAACAACUCUUCUUCGUCAGCGUCGUCGAUGAUAAAGCACGAGCCAAGCGUCAUCAUCCAUCAAAACUCCCGCAACGUUCAUGCCGUGUUUGCUAGCCACUAGUGUUUGUGUACUAGUAGAAUGAGAGGUAUAAAGAGAUAAAAGGGAGGCAACGUUUUAAGGGCUCAGCCAUUGCUUUCUCUCUCUUUUUCUUUUUUUUGGCUUUAGUUUCAUGUAAGGAAGAUUCUUUAGAGUCCUCCACCAGCAGCCAAAGGGGUUUCUUCAACUCUUAAGAAACAGGAAAAUGCAAAAUUUAGAACAUGAGCUGGAGUUGUUCGUAGUGUUGUAUCAAAGGGUGAUGAUGGUUAUUUUAUGUAAAUUUUGCACAUCCAGGAUAAUUUUUGUUGAUAUUUUGUAUGUCUAAUUUUUUUUUCCAAGA